GGAGGAAUACCCAAGUCCGGCUGAAGGAUCGGUCUUGAAACCGACAGGGUGUUAAAGCCCGCGGGGGUUCGAAUCCCUCUUCCUCCGCCA
rnacentral:tRNA from 1 species